AAAGCACUCUGGAAAAUGGAAGUCUAGAUCUGGGGGUCUGCCUGAUAGUACAGUGUAUGAGGCCAGAUGAGACAGCCAUAACGAGUACAAUAUAAAACGUGCUCAGUGCACAAGUAAAGCUCAAUACAUGCUUACUGGGUAGAUUGUCUGCUGGAUGGAUGCACGUGUGGACAUGCCUACAGCAUGGCUACACGGGUGGGCAUGGAGACCAUGCAAGAGGAGAUACAGGAAGACAAAAGGCUCUGGCAGUUGGAGAAGCUUGGGAAAGCUUGGCAGAAAAGGUUUUGCCAGUCUGUCUAGGAACACGUGGACUUUGGAAAGGGAGUUGAGAAGAUGCCUUACGAUGCCUAUAGAGGCUAGAGUUUCUACUGCUGCCUCUGAUGAAAACUCUGAAGCUGAGCUCCACUUUGCACUGGGUCAUCAAUGACAGAUGAUCAACAAAGAAGCCAGUAUCCAGGAAAUAGGGUGAUGGAAUACCACGGUACCUUUUGUUUGGGUUGGAAGACUUAAAUACUAUAGGCAAUUGUUAUUUCCCAUGAUCUACCCAGAUCCAGGAUUGGUUAAUUCAGCGCCUAAAUGAUAUCACUUGAGAUUGUUGUCCAUCUUUAAAGUUCUUAAGUCCUAAGUUCUCUGUUGUCAUGGUUACAGGAUUUGGUUCACAGCUCUGAGCAACCUCUGCUUACCUCAGAGCAGAAAAGGGCCCAUCUUCUCUCUGGUUAAUCUGAGCCACUGAGAACUUAGCCUUGUGGUACACAGCCAUCUUGUAACCCUUUGUGAUGAGAUAUCUAAGAAAGACUCAACUGUUUGAAAGAAAGCCAAACCCAGAGACGAGACACAUCUGCACGCAAAUGUCAAUCUGAGCUCACAAAAGCUUCUGGACUUCUUCCAUGACACAAAAACUUUCUCCUCAACUUGGUUACCUAUCACUUAUAACCCUGAGGACCUACUCAUAUGCUCUACUUGUCAAAAUAAAAAUCAGUUGACCCUCAGCUCCAAUGUCUAUGUGGAGAUAAGAUGAAAACUUUUUGGAGUUGGUUCUUUCUUUCCUCCAUGUGGGUCCCAAGGAUCUAACUCAGGUCAGCAGGCUUGGCAGCAAACAUCUUUAUCUUCUGAACCAUCUCACUGGUCAUCCUUCUCAGUAGUUCUCUUUAGAACUACUGAGAUCAUGAUCAAAAAAGAAAGAUAAGAAAUGGUCACAUGCUACACAGACUGGAGAACUACAUAUGAACAGAUAUCCUGGGCCA
rnacentral:lncRNA from 1 species